GAACUGAGAGCAGCGUUGGCCGGGGGCUAGGGAGCCGGGCUGUUCCACGCUCACUGUGCGCCUCGGGCGGCGGGGCUCGGGCUCUGUCCGAGGUGCUGAACUCCGGGGCUCCGGCCGCGCCGGCAGAGUGUGCCAGCGUCCAUUAUUGCCAGUGUCUGUGGGCAUCUUCCAGAAGGCCGAGCAUGGGGGUCAGGUGAAACCAGGGCGCUCCCAAGCACCUUGCCCAGUAGAGCCCCCUUGCACCCUGCUUGGUUGGUCAGCACCCCAUGGACAUGCAGCCUUGACCUUGGCAUGGGAAGCCUCCACUGUGUCAAGCCCAACAUCCAGGCCUCUGAAGACAGUCAUUCAGCCAUGAAUAUCAAUUAUUACAGAAAUGAAAAGGGAUCCUGCACCCAAAUUCAAAUCAAGCAAGUUCACCUAGAGGUUGCCGUGGGGUGGAGGGCCCAGAUCUGGGCUGUUUGGAUCUCUCUGCAGGAUGAAAGGGAUUUCCUGGACCUGGCUUUGCUGUCCCUUGCUCCUUUUGUAAGCAUCUGACUCUUCCUCUAUCCAUAAAGAUGAAGACAUUCUUUCGCAGGGAUUUAAUAUUGGGGCUGCAUGCCUGGCCCCUGAGAA
rnacentral:lncRNA from 1 species